rnacentral:rRNA from 1 species
UGGGGAAUAUUGGACAAUGGGCGCAAGCCUGAUCCAGCCAUGCCGCGUGAGUGAUGAAGGCCCUAGGGUUGUAAAGCCCUUUCACCGGUGAAGAUAAUGACGGUAACCGGAGAAGAAGCCCCGGCUAACUUCGUGCCAGCAGCCGCGGUAAUACGAAGGGGGCUAGCGUUGUUCGGAUUUACUGGGCGUAAAGCGCACGUAGGCGGACUAUUAAGUCAGGGGUGAAAUCCCGGGGCUCAACCCCGGAACUGCCUUUGAUACUGGUAGGCUUGAGUUCGAGAGAGGUGAGUGGAAUUCCGGGUGUAGAGGUGAAAUUCGUAGAUAUUCGGGGGAACACCAGUGGCGAAGGCGGCUCACUGGCUCGAUACUGACGCUGAGGUGCGAAAGCGUGGGGAGCAAACAGG